UUUAAAAAUUGAUAAACUUUAAUUUCAUAUUAAUUUUUAAAAUGAAUAUUAAAUUGUUAACCUUAAUAUUUCUUUCUGUGAGUAUUUUUCUUGAAGUAAAAGUUGUUGAUUGUAGAAAAGAAAUAAAUGAGUAUGCAGCAUAUUUAAAACAAGUAAUGAAUCACAUGUGUUAUAACUUAUCACAUUUUAAACUGGAAUACUUGUCACUAAGAAAUGAAAAAAAUGAUAUUGUAAGGAUAAAUGAUAUUCUAAAUCAAAAAGUUAGUAAUGUUGAUAAAUUAAUAAUAACAUACUAUUAUAUAGUUGAUUUAAUCAACUAUUUAUUUAUUGAAGUACUACAAUUAUUUACUGAACACUUAAAAAUCAUUAUAGACGUUUGUGAAAAAUUGUAUGAAAAUAAUUUAUUUGAAAAUGCAACUUAUUGCACCAUAGUACUUUUAAAUACUGCCAAAAAUUCAAAUUUGAUGUUUGAUUAUUUAUACAAAGCUAUUACAUUUAUUGAUUACUUAGAUAUAAAUUCAGUGUGUGUAAAAUCAAUAGUACGUUCAAAAACGGUUGUAAAUGAAAUUUAUACCGUUAAAAAUUAUACGUCUUCAAUGAAAUCGACAGAAAUGCUGAAUUAUAUAAAUAAUGAUAAAAGCAUCAACAUUUUAGUAGCUAAAGAAGACUACAAAGAAAUAUAUAAUUUUGUUAAUAAAGUAGUUGAUACCACAGAUAAUUUUUUUAAAAACAAUUUUAAUGUUAUAAACAAUACAAUAAAAAUUAAUUUACAAGAAAAUUACUUUAAUGAAUACAAAACUACUAGGUGUAAAAUUAAUUUUGUCAAUUUUAUUAGUGAAAAAUUAAAUGUUUACUGUUUAACAACCAUUGAUAAAUAUUAUUUUAAUAUUGGAUUCCAUCAGUUCAUUAACCCUAAUAUAACCGGGCUCACACCUCCUCAGAACAUCGAAUUCCUUCAAGAUAAAGCAAUUGAAGUACUAAAUACUUUGUUCCGUGAAGGAAAUUGGAAGUUAUUGGACCAUAUAAGCAUAAUAAAUUAUGAUGAUAUAAUCACUACCAAUCGAAUUAUUAGAGACCCUGUAAAUAAUAGUAAUUUUAAUAUAAAAAAAAAAUAUUUUACUCAUCUGUUGAGAUGCAGAUACACUGAAGUAUUGAAAAAUUAUAAUACGUAUAUAUCUGCUAUAAUACAAACAUGCAGAAAUCAAAUAAAUUCUAACAAUAUAGAUGGUAUUAAAGAUUGUACAAUUCGAUUUAUUGAUGCGGUUAAAGAUUCAAAAAAUAUGUUUAAAUAUAUGUUGUCAGCUUUAAAUAAAUUAAAAGCUGUAUUUAUUUGGGAUUCGAACUAUAAAUCAAAUUCGUCAUUAAUAACAAUCUAUGAUAUAUUAAGUAAAUUUUUUCAUAAAAUUGAAAAUUUUUUAAAUUUAACGCCAUCAGAUUUUUUGAAUGUUUCAAACGAUGAUAUAAAAUUGAAAGCCAAUGUUUUUUUUUUUGAUUUUCAAAGAGAACGAAAACUUUUUAAUCAAAUGAUAACUACCGGAAAUGAAUAUAUGAAACAAUAUUGUUCCAUUAAAGGUGGUGUUAUAGACAAAAAUCAAUUAUUAAAAUCAUGGAAUGAAAUAGUAAUGUCAUCUAAUACUGGAUCGCUUAUGAUCGAUGUGGUUUAAUGCAAUGACCAGAAAACAAAUAUUUAAAAACUAAAUAUUCAACACACAACUCAACAACUACAUUGAAAAUUAAGAUUAAAGAGAUGAACGAUUACUAUAUUCCACUAUGAAUCUUGAAGAUUUUGCAGUCACGCAACAAACUAUGGUGGACUUACGCAAUUCGGCCGAAUAUAGUUUGCAUGUCACAAAUGUCGUAAAUAAUUUACGAUUGUCAAUUAUUGACAGCAACUCACAAGUUUAUAAUAAUACUGUAAAAUCUGACCAGGAGAAAUUGUGAACGUGAAGAAUACGUAGCAAUGGGAUUUACACGAUGAACAACAUGACAUUUUAUUUGUUUAAAAAAUGUAAUAAUCUUAUAAACUACUUAAUAUCAACUGAAGUUAAGUACAUGUAAUUCAAAACAAUAACGAAUAUAUUAAGUUCAGAUAAAAACUGUUCAUAAUAAUAUUUCAAUAGUAAAAUUGUUGCUAGCCGACAAACAAAAAAAAUAUUAAAAUAAACCAACUAAUACAACAGUUGAUAUAUAUAAAAGUGUCAGACCUUCCGGAACAUUUUCAAAAGUUAUGUUGAAAAAGUAAAUUUGUUGUGAAAAAGUUGUCAUUUUAAAUCCCCCCCUGUGGGCAGGUUAAGUGUCAGAUUUACAAAAAAAAUAUACCAAAUGAUAGACAAUUAUGGGUGAAUUGUUUUGGGAUUAAAAAUUUGAAAACUGAAGAAUCUACAUUUUACAUGUACCAUGAGGGUGAAGCUGGCAAGGAAUCCAACGAUGUGUGCUCUAUGUUACUGAAUUAUAUAAAAAUAAUACCGUUAUACGAUUUUUGCUAGCAUUGAUAGAUAGUCAACGAUUUGAAAGGAUUUACCACUUUUUCUUUUACAUUUUUACCUAACGAUCGAGAUUUUGGAGUUAUAAAAAAAAAAUAAGAAAGCAUGAUCGUAUAUAUAUGCCAGAUGAAUAUAUUAAAAUUGUGAAUGAAUGUAGUAAAAAGUUCAAAGUAAUAAAGUUUCAGACGGAUUAAGUUUACGAAUUUAAAAAAUAGUGGCCAUCAUACUACAAAAAGACAUGUUUAUCUGUUGAGACAUUUGGAAAAAAGUUCCAAAGGACCAAAAGCAAUCCUUUACCCUAUCUACAUCCAUGAGUUUUGAAUAUAAUACAAAAUAUAAGGUAUUGUAUUCACACAUAAUUUUAUCGAUGGGUUAUCAAAACACACAUUUAAACUAUUAAAAUUAACAACAAAUAAUAAUGUAGCAUUGCCAACAGCCAAGGUGUAUAAUAAUAGUGCCAAUAAACGCCCAAAAAACUGAAAACUUAAGACAAUUUAAAGAUGGUAUAAUUAAGGAGCAUAGGUUAUUUUAUGAAGAAAUAUAUAAAUGGCUAACUGCUGAUGAAAAAAAUAUGGAAGCUGAAAAUGUAGAACUUCAUAGGGAAUAUGAUUACGUACCAUGACAAUUUUCAAAAUAUUAUGUAUUAACGUAUUUUUUAUUUUUGUUAAGUUUUGAUCAGUUGUUUUUAAUAAUUUAAUGUUAGUUUACAUUUUUUUAUUGUAUUUUGAUUUUUAUCAAGUUUCAUUCAAAAAUGCUCUUGUAUUGUAACAUUUUAUCAAGUUAAAAAAUUUAGUUUUUGUUUUUAAGAAAAAAGAAAUAUUUCAUUUUUUGUAAAAUAAUAUGUAUUAUGAAAUGUGCAAUGGUUUAUUUUAUAUUGUGUUUUGA